AUUGAACGCUGGCGGCAGGCUUAACACAUGCAAGUCGAACGGUAACAUAAAGAAGCUUGCUUCUUUGAUGACGAGUGGCGGACGGGUGAGUAAUGCUUGGGAAUCUAGCUUAUGGAGGGGGAUAACUACGGGAAACUGUCGCUAAUACCGCGUAGAGUCGAGAGACGAAAGUGCGGGACCGCAAGGCCGCAUGCCAUAGGAUGAGCCCAAGUGGGAUUAGGUAGUUGGUGGGGUAAAGGCCUACCAAGCCGACGAUCUCUAGCUGGUCUGAGAGGAUGACCAGCCACACCGGGACUGAGACACGGCCCGGACUCCUACGGGAGGCAGCAGUGGGGAAUAUUGCGCAAUGGGGGCAACCCUGACGCAGCCAUGCCGCGUGAAUGAAGAAGGCCUUCGGGUUGUAAAGUUCUUUCGGUAUUGAGGAAGGUUGUUGUGUUAAUAGCACGACAAAUUGACGUUAAAUACAGAAGAAGCACCGGCUAACUCCGUGCCAGCAGCCGCGGUAAUACGGAGGGUGCGAGCGUUAAUCGGAAUAACUGGGCGUAAAGGGCACGCAGGCGGACUUUUAAGUGAGGUGUGAAAUCCCCGGGCUUAACCUGGGAAUUGCAUUUCAGACUGGGAGUCUAGAGUACUUUAGGGAGGGGUAGAAUUCCACGUGUAGCGGUGAAAUGCGUAGAGAUGUGGAGGAAUACCGAAGGCGAAGGCAGCCCCUUGGGAAUGUACUGACGCUCAUGUGCGAAAGCGUGGGGAGCAAACAGG
rnacentral:rRNA from 1 species